GGCUGGCUUAGAUGGAAAGCAUCUGCUUUGCAUGCAGAAGGGCCCAGGUUCAAUCCCUGGCAUCUCCA